rnacentral:rRNA from 1 species
AACGGGGGGACUAACGUUAUUCAUCCUAACUGGGCGUAAAGGGUACGUAGGCUGUUUUUUAAGUUUUAAUUAAAAAAUCUAAGCAUAACUUAGAAAUUAAUUAUUAUACUGGAAUAACUAGAGGUUAAUAGAUGAAAAUUAUAUUUUUAAAGUAGGGGUAAAAUUCUAAGAUAUUAAAAAGAUAACCUUCGAGCGAAGGCGAUUUCCAUUUUAAUACUGACGCUGAGGUACGAAGGCAUGGGAAUCAAACGGGA